GAGUUUCUAAUGCUCCCUUCCACAUUUGCAUAAGGAAACGCAAUCAGGAAGCCAGCAAGAAGUCAGAAUUCACUCUUGAUCCAUCUGCUUUCUUGCCUAUUUUCUGUCUUGAAAAGUAGAAUGCAGAAGUCCACGGAAAAGCAGGCUUCUUGUGAAAAUUGGAGGCACCUGGCUACCUAUUUUCUAUCCCAUUUGAGCCUUUUCAUCAAUAAAACAGCAACCUUGGCACAGGAAUGAGAAAAGACUUGAGUUUUUGGAGCUUUGCAGAUAUAAAGAUUGACAGAUUCAAACACAUUCGGAGAAGCCAGAGUCAUCUCACUUUGUAUUUGCUUGAUGAGAAAAAAUUCCGUAAGUGAUAAACAUGAAGUGAUACAAUACAAAUAUAAUCUGGGUCUAAGGAAAAAAAAUACAAAA